UACGUAGGGGGCAAGCGUUGUCCGGAAUUAUUGGGCGUAAAGCGCGCGCAGGCGGUCCUUUAAGUCUGAUGUGAAAGCCCACGGCUUAACCGUGGAGGGUCAUUGGAAACUGGAGGACUUGAGUGCAGAAGAGGAGAGUGGAAUUCCACGUGUAGCGGUGAAAUGCGUAGAUAUGUGGAGGAACACCAGUGGCGAAGGCGACUCUCUGGUCUGUAACUGACGCUGAGGCGCGAAAGCGUGGGUAGCGAACAGG
rnacentral:rRNA from 1 species